rnacentral:rRNA from 1 species
UCCUCCCUCUUUCUUCGUGCUUAACACAUGCAAGUCGAACGGAAAGGCCCUGCUUUUGUGGGGUGCUCGAGUGGCGAACGGGUGAGUAACACGUGAGUAACCUGCCCUUGACUUUGGGAUAACUUCAGGAAACUGGGGCUAAUACCGGAUAGGAGCUCCUGCUGCAUGGUGGGGGUUGGAAAGUUUCGGCGGUUGGGGAUGGACUCGCGGCUUAUCAGCUUGUUGGUGGGGUAGUGGCUUACCAAGGCUUUGACGGGUAGCCGGCCUGAGAGGGUGACCGGCCACAUUGGGACGGAGAUACGGCCCAGACGCCGACGGGAGGCAGCAGGGGGAAUAUUGCACAAUGGGCGGAAGCCUGAUGCAGCAACGCCGCGUGCGGGAUGACGGCCUUCGGGUUGUAAACCGCUUUCGCCUGUGACGAAGCGUGAGUGACGGUAAUGGGUAAAGAAGCACCGGCUAACUACGUG